GAAAUUUUGUUUUUCGACCACUUUCGAUACUUAUUGAACCCAAAACCCUUUCCCUAAGACGCUUGGUCUCGUAGAAAUUGUAUCUGACGGUUAUUUCUCCGAUAUCUUGACGGAGAUUACAAAGUCAUCGUCUCUCUCCAUUCGCGGAGCCUCCAUCAGCUAUUUUCAUGUGCGUUACUUCUUAUUUUCAGAAAUUUAGACAUUGAUUAUAGUUAAAGCCAGUCUUGUAAAGGAAUUUCUUUCGCAGCUGCUUCAGGACUUGCAACAUGUCUACUGGCCCUGGCCUGGAGUCUCUUGUAGAUCAAACAAUUUCAGUUAUAACCAAUGAUGGCCGCAACAUAGUGGGAAUCUUGAAAGGCUUUGACCAGGCAACAAAUAUCAUCCUUGAUGAAUCUCAUGAACGGGUUUACUCUACUAAGGAAGGUGUUCAACAGCUUGUACUUGGUUUGUACAUAAUAAGGGGUGACAACAUAAGCAUUGUUGGGGAACUGGAUGAAGAGCUCGAUUCGCAUCUUGACCUGUCAAACCUAAGAGCUCAUCCUCUCAAGCCAGUCAUCCAUUGAUCACCUAUGAAUAUUUUGGUUGAUAUAGAAGUAAUUUACGGAGUACAAAAUGUUUCUGACUUACAAUGUUGUAAUUCUUGAUGGUUGUAGACCUAGACCCUAUCAAAUCAAUAUUCUACUGUCGGCGCCUCUCUCCCUCGCUUCCCUUUCCUCUCUUCGUCGACGCCUCUCCCCCACUUCAUGACGACUGCCGGCAGCCCAGUCGACACCGGCGACGUCUCCUUUCUCUCCCGAUAAAUCUUCUCUCUCUACAGUGCGAUAUCUCCUUCUCUCUUUAGUCGGUGACAUCUCCCACUUCCCAGUCAAGGCCUCUCUCCCCCACUUCACUGACGAGUGCCAGCAGUCGGCACCGGCGACGUCUCCUUUCUCUCCCCAGUCGACGACGACGAUAAAUCUUCUCCAGCGGCGGCAUCUUCCACUUUCCAGUCGGAGACAACUCUUCCCUCUCCCUGGUCGGCAUCAGCGAUAUCUCCUUCUCUCUUCCAGUCGGGUGACAUCUACUCUUUUCAAUUGACGCUUCUCUCCCCCACUUCACUGAUGCUGGACCCUUGCCUCUCCCCGAUCUUUGUUGGCGACAUCUCCUGGAACUUUCUUCAGGUUUGCAAUCAAAUUUUUUGGACUGGAACUUUCUACUACUGGGUUUGCUGAGUUUGCAAUCAAAUUUUUUAACUGGAACUUUUUACUGCUGGGUUUGCUAUUUGAUUAUUUGCUAUUUGAUUAAUGUAAUACUGUUGAUUUUUAAAAUUUAUGAACAAUUAAUUUGAUUAUCUGGUUAUAAAUCAUUAUUUGCUGGGUUGCU